rnacentral:rRNA from 1 species
AUUGAACGCUGGCGGCAGGCCUAACACAUGCAAGUCGAACGACUGGCGGACGGGUGAGUGAUAUUUGGGAAACUGCCUGAUGGAGGGUGAUAACUACUGGAAACGGUAGCUAAUACCGCAUACCAUCGGAUGUGCCCAGGUGGGAUUAGCUAGUAGGUGGGGUAACGUCUCACCUAGGCGCCGAUCCCUAGCUGGUCUGAGAGGAUGACCAGCCACACGGGAACUGAGAACGGGUCCAGAUUCCUACGGGAGGCAGAAGUGGGGAAUAUUGCACAAUGGGCGCAAGCCUGAUGCAGCCAUGCCGAGUGUAGGAAGAAGGCUUUCGGGUUGUAAAGUACUUUCAUCGGGGAGGCGUUACCCGCAGAAGAAGCAACGGCUAACUCCGUGCCAGCAGCCGCGGUAAUAC